GACGAACGCUGGCGGCGUGCCUAAUACAUGCAAGUAGAACGCUGAAGGAGGAGCUUGCUUCUCCGGAUGAGUUGCGAACGGGUGAGUAACGCGUAGGUAACCUGCCUGGUAGCGGGGGAUAACUAUUGGAAACGAUAGCUAAUACCGCAUAACAGUAGAUAUUGCAUGAUAUCUGCUUGAAAGGUGCAAUUGCAUCACUACCAGAUGGACCUGCGUUGUAUUAGCUAGUUGGUGGGGUAACGGCUCACCAAGGCGACGAUACAUAGCCGACCUGAGAGGGUGAUCAGCCACACUGGGACUGAGACACGGCCCAGACUCCUACGGGAGGCAGCAGUAGGGAAUCUUCGGCAAUGGACGGAAGUCUGACCGAGCAACGCCGCGUGAGUGAAGAAGGUUUUCGGAUCGUAAAGCUCUGUUGUAAGAGAAGAACGAGUGUGAGAGUGGAAAGUUCACACUGUGACGGUAUCUUACCAGAAAGAGACGGCUAACUACGUG
rnacentral:rRNA from 1 species